rnacentral:rRNA from 1 species
AUUGAACGCUGGCGGCAGGCUUAACACAUGCAAGUCGGACGAGUGGCGGACGGGUGAGUAAUGCUUGGGAAUCUGCCUUAUGGAGGGGGAUAACUACGGGAAACGGUAGCUAAUACCGCGUACCAUCAGAUGAGCCCAUAUGGGAUUAGGUAGUUGGUGAGGUAAAGGCUCACCAAGCCGACGCUCCCUAGCUGGUCUGAGAGGAUGACCAGCCACACUGGGACUGAGACACGGCCCAGACUCCUACGGGAGGCAGCAGUGGGGAAUAUUGCGCAAUGGGCGCAAGCCUGACGCAGCCAUGCCGCGUGUAUGAAGAAGGCCUUCGGGUUGUAAAGUUCUUUCAGUAGCGAGGCGUUAACUACAGAAGAAGCACCGGCUAACUCCGUGCCAGCAGCCGCGGUAAUUC